AAGGAGACAGCAGAGAGUGAGGAACCCCAGGAGACAGAACAGAGUCAAGAACCCAAGGAGUCACCACAGACUAAGAAAGAAUGCAAAGCUGCAGGGGGGCGUUGCAUACCUCUGACGUGUCUCCACAUGACUCAGAUUGGAAAAUGCAAGGGGUUUUUGACCAUGAAGUGCUGUAAAAAUGAUUAAUCUCUGUUCCCCAAACAAGAGAUUGAAGAACCUGCCAGAGGUUAGACUGAUGGAGGAGGUCUGCUUACCCAAGAUCUUUUAAGAGCCACGUAGAAUGCUGCUUCAUCCCCAGCUAGAGACGCCUUCUGCUUCUUCACCAAAACAUCUGGAUCGAAAGAAUAAGCCACCACAAAAUGUUCCAUGAUUAUACCAGCUUGUCCCUUGCAAUAAAAGCAAAUUAAAAAACCACAUUCCCUCUC